rnacentral:tRNA from 1 species
GGGCUGGGGCUCAGUGGCAGAGCGCUUGACUAGCAUGCAUGAGGCACUGGGUUUGAUCCUCAGCACCACA